GUGCUUGCUUCGGCAGCACAUAUCCUAAAAUUGGGAUGAUAUGGAGAUUAGCAUGGCCCCUGUGCGAGGCUGACACGCAAAUUCGUGAAGCAUUCCAUAUUUAA